rnacentral:rRNA from 1 species
CCUUUACUGACGCUAAAGCUCGAAGGUGCGGGUAUCGAACAGGAUUAGAUACCCUGGUAGUCCGCACGGUAAACGAUGGAUGCCCGCUGUUUGCGAUAUACUGUGAGCGGCCAAGAGAAAUCGUUAAGCAUCCCACCUGGGGAGUACGCCGGCAACGGUGAAACUCAAAGGAAUUGACGGGGGCCCGCACAAGCGGAGGAACAUGUGGUUUAAUUCGAUGAUACGCGAGGAACCUUACCCGGGCUUGAACUGCAGGCGAACGAUACAGAGAUGUUGAGGCCCUUCGGGGCGCCUGUGGAGGUGCUGCAUGGUUGUCGUCAGCUCGUGCCGUGAGGUGUCGGCUUAAGUGCCAUAACGAGCGCAACCCUUUUCAUUAGUUGCCAUCAGGUAAUGCUGGGCACUCUGGUGAUACUGCCACCGUAAGGUGUGAGGAAGGUGGGGAUGACGUCAAAUCAGCACGGCCCUUACGUCCGGGGCUACACACGUGUUACAAUGGUAGGUACAGAGAGUCGGAUGUACGCAAGUACAUUCUAAUCCUAAAAGCCUUCCUCAGUUCGGAUUGGGGUCUGCAACCCGACCCCAUGAAGCUGGAUUCGCUAGU